AUGACCUCGCGACCACGCUCCUCUCCGACGACCAUCCCCUCAAUCAAUGUGAUCUCCUUCCUAAUCGACGCCACAAGAGCGAAGCACCAUCGAGCAGCCCUCUCCGGCAAGUCCCGCAUCGCUCUCUGUGCACAACCCAACCCAUCUCCGGCCAGCACCCAUCACACACAUCCGCUGCAAGCUCCGAUCACGGCACCACGAGAGACCUUCGAGAAUCCAUGUGGGUAA